rnacentral:rRNA from 1 species
UUGACCUCAAAUCAGGUAGGACUACCCGCUGAACUUAAGCAUAUCAAUAAGCGGAGGAAAAGAAACUAACAAGGAUUCCCCUAGUAACUGCGAGUGAAGCGGGAAAAGCUCAAAUUUAAAAUCUGGCAGUCUCUGGCUGUCCGAGUUGUAAUCUAGAGAAGUGUUAUCCGCGCUGGACCGUGUACAAGUCUCCUGA